ensembl:lncRNA
GAUUAAGAGAAGGAGAGGAAAUGAAGACGAUUUGUAAAGAUUGAGUCCCUGAUGAUGGGAGACAGAGGGGGGGAGGAGGAGGAUGUACAGUAUGUGAAAGAAGAUGGAUGAGGAGGGGAGAAAAAUGAAGCUAGAAAGAAAGUUUGCCACACUUGAACUAAAAAAAGCCCCACUGCACUUUGUUUAGGCGUAAAUGUUGCCUUGUAAAGAUACCAACACAGAAAUGCAAAAGAUCUCAUGACUACAACAGCGUAAUGAGACGCAACAAUGAGCGACGAGGAAGAAAAAGAGAGAGGACGGGAGUGAGGAAGAAGGCAGGAGUUGUGGGAGGAGGGAGAGGAUGCGAGAGAGGGUGACAGCCAAGUGGAGAGGAGACGGAUGGGAGCAAAGUGAAAGCUGAAGACAUCCACCACUGAUUGCAUCAACAGGUCUGAGCCCCUCCAGUGUGUUUUCGACUCGGGGAACAAAGGUGUCUGCGACUGAGAGAUGAAAACUGCGACAACUGAUGAAGAUGGUAUGGAGUUCAGACGUGCAUUUGUGUGGGCUGUCUAAUUGAGGAGAUUGUUUGAUUCCUCUCCCUCUGUGUUUCUUCCUCUGAAGACCUGUCAAACUCGCAAUCAGCGGAAAGCAACGUGCACGGACGGAUUGGAGAGAAAGAGUGGAGAUGGAAAGACGGCGUUUAGGAAGAAAAGGAGGGAGUUUACGCCCACCGCCUAAAGAGAUGAGAAGACAGGCAGAGGAGGGGAGAAUUUGUGGAGGAAGCAGAGUGUGUGUGAGUGCCAGAGCUCAUCAGCCUGUCAAACAUCCGUUAUAGACCACAAACCCACACAGCCACUGCACUGCUGAGGUCUAUCACUAAACAGGUGCACUUCCUUCACCUUCACACACACUUUCUGAUGCACUCUGAUCCAGCGUGCAUCUUCCCAGUGUGUUUGUGUGUGUGUGUAGGUGGCCACAUUUACGCACACCAAGUUUGUCCACAGGGCACAAAGCCGCCUUGGCUUAUUUCCAUGUAGCGGAAGGUGAUCCACACUGAGUCACUGUCAUUGAUCAGAAAAUAAAACCAGUCGGGUGGAUUCUUCAUAGCGAGAUGCUUCCUUCACAGCUCUCCUGAGCACCUAAACUGUUUUAGCACAAUCUGCACUCUCAGUCCAACCCACGUUUGAACCCGUAUUAUUCCUCACUGUGCUCGGAGUUUUGUAAUUCUGACUGCUGACGCACUGCAUCUAAAUUCAUCAUCCACUUUACCCGAGGGUGUUACAGCAGGGUUUUGUUUGUCUGUUUGUUUCUUUUAAUGCCUCAGAUACCCCACUCCCUCCACCCCAGAUAUAGGUGUAGUUUGAACCAGAGGACAUUGCAUAAAGUUGAGGUUAAUGCUUUUGUUGUGGGUGGGAAACAAAGCAGUGUGUGAUAUCUCUAAUUAGAAGUGUGAGUCAUUGUGUGAAAUCAGUGAAUUGUACGUUCGAAACCUUCACAAAUCCUGCACCUCAGAAUGCAAACUGUACUCCUGACGCUUUUGGUUUCGUUAACAGUUUCUCCAUCUUCACAUAUAUUUGCACCCGAAUUAGCCGUUUGCGAGGCUUAAACGUCUGUGACAUCUGCCUGCAUCCUACCAAUGAGAAUGAUGAUAUCUGUGUUACUAAUGUGAUCCUUGUUGUGAUGCAGAAUUGUGACUCCGGGUAGAUUAUAUGCUAUUUUAAGACGUAACCUUUCCUCACCUUUUUAACACAGAAAAUGAGUUUCUAUGGGGAUACUGGUGUAUAAGAAUGUUAAUUAGUGGAACUCAUGCACAUUUAUAUUUGUGGCGUAAAAUAUGAACAUGUUGGGCCACUUGUAUGUUUAUAAUCACUAGAAUAUUGUCACAUUUUUGGGGAUAUUUCAGUAAUAUAGAGGUCCACAGUCACUCUAAGCUCUAAUUGGAAGCAACCAAUAAACAGUACAUACCCUAGAAUUGAUCCUGGUUAUGUCUUAUAAUAAAACAGCAAGUGGGAAUGUAAAGAAGACAUUAUUAGCAGCUGAAUAC